rnacentral:rRNA from 1 species
UGGGGAAUCUUGCGCAAUGGGGGCAACCCUGACGCAGCAACGCCGUGUGUGCGAUGAAGGCCCUCGGGUCGUAAAGCACUGUCAGUAGGGACGAUGGUUUCGUACUCGAAUAGGGUAUGGAAUUGACGGUACCUGUGGAGGAAGCACCGGCUAACUCUGUGCCAGCAGCCGCGGUAAGACAGAGGGUGCAAGCGUUGUUCGGAAUUAUUGGGCGUAAAGCGCGCGUAGGCGGCUAGCUAAGUCGGAUGUGAAAUCCCGGGGCUCAACCUCGGCCGUGCAUCCGAAACUGGUUGGCUUGAAUCCUGGAGGGGGCAGUGGAAUUCCCGGUGUAGAGGUGAAAUUCGUAGAUAUCGGGAGGAACACCAGUGGCGAAGGCGACUGCCUGGACAGUGAUUGACGCUGAGGUGCGAAAGCGUGGGUAGCAAACAGGAUUAGAUACCCCUGUAGUCC